rnacentral:rRNA from 1 species
GACGAACGCUGGCGGCGUGCCUAAUACAUGCAAGUCGAACGGAAAGGCCCUGCGUUUGCGGGUUGCACGAGUGCCGAACGGGUGAGUAACACGUGAGUAACCUGCACUUGUCUUUGGGGUAAAUUCAGGAAACUGGGGCUAAUACCGGAUAGGAUCUCCUGCUGCACGGUGGGGGUUGGAAAGUUUCGGCGGUGGGGGAUGGUCUCGCGGCUUAUCAGCUUGUUGGUGUGGUAGUGGCUUACCAAGGGUUUGACGGGUAGCCGGCCUGAGAGGGGGGACGGCCACAUGGGGACUGCGGGACGGCCCAGUCUGCUACGGGAGGCAGCGGGCGAGAGUAUUGCACAGUGGGCGGAAGCCAGAUGCAGCAGCGCCGCGUGCGGGAUGACGGCCUACGGGUUAUAAACCGCUGUCGCCUGUGACAAAGCGUGAGUGACGGUAAUGGGUAAAGAAGCACCGGCUAACUACGUG